GGGGGGGGGGGGGGGGGGGGGGGGGGGGGGGGGGGCGGGCGGGGGCGGGCCUGGGGGGGGGGAGGAGUGGCGGAGGGGGGAGGAAUGGCGCGGGACGUACCCGGGGGUGGGGGGUAACGCAGCGCAGGCGGUGGUAAUACCGCAUCGGAUCUGAGGGUGCAAGCGGGGGACCGAGCGGCAAUGUUGGGCCUCGCGCCUUGGGGGCGGCCGGUGUCGGCUUAGCUCGUUGGUGGGGGCAAGGCCUACCAAGGCGACGAGCCGGAGCUGGUCUGAGAGGACGACCAGCCACACUGGGACUGAGACACGGCCCAGACUCCUACGGGAGGCAGCAGUGGGGAAUUUUGGACAAUGGGCGCAAGCCUGAUCCAGCAAUGCCGCGUGCGGGAAGAAGGCCUUCGGGUUGUAACCCGCUUUUGGCAGGAACGAAACGGUGUCCGCUAAUACCGGGCGCUAAUGACGGUACCUGCAGAAUAAGCACCGGCUAACUACGUG
rnacentral:rRNA from 1 species